rnacentral:rRNA from 1 species
UGGCGACGGGUGAGUAACGCGUGGGUAACCUGCCGUAUACCGGGGGAUAACACUUAGAAAUAGGUGCUAAUACCGCAUAAGCGCACGGCUCCGCAUGGGGCAGUGUGAAAAACUCCGGUGGUAUACGAUGGAUCCGCGUCUGAUUAGCUAGUUGGCGGGGUAACGGCCCACCAAGGCAGCGAUCAGUAGCCGGCCUGAGAGGGUGGACGGCCACAUUGGGACUGAGACACGGCCCAAACUCCUACGGAAGGCAGCAG